rnacentral:rRNA from 1 species
UUCGUAGGGCGCAAGCGUUAUCCGGAAUUAUUGGGCGUAAAGAGCUCGUAGGCGGUUUGUCGCGUCUGCCGUGAAAGUCCGGGGCUCAACUCCGGAUCUGCGGUGGGUACGGGCAGACUAGAGUGAUGUAGGGGAGACUGGAAUUCCUGGUGUAGCGGUGAAAUGCGCAGAUAUCAGGAGGAACACCGGUGGCGAAGGCGGUUCUCUGGGCAUUACCUGACGCUGAGGAGCGAAAGCAUGGGGAGCGAACAGG